CGAGCAUCAGUGAUGUAAAAUCUCAUUCGUUAUCCUUGCACUUUGAUUGCCCGUGAAGAUAAAUGUGGGGAAAUUAAUACUGAGAUGUUC